rnacentral:rRNA from 1 species
CAGUCGAGGGGCAGCAUGGUCUUAGCUUGCUAAGGCUGAUGGCGACCGGCGCACGGGUGAGUAACACGUAUCCAACCUGCCGUCUACUCUUGGCCAGCCUUCUGAAAGGAAGAUUAAUCCAGGAUGGGAUCAUGAGUUCACAUGUCCGCAUGAUUAAAGGUAUUUUCCGGUAGACGAUGGGGAUGCGUUCCAUUAGAUAGUAGGCGGGGUAACGGCCCACCUAGUCAACGAUGGAUAGGGGUUCUGAGAGGAAGGUCCCCCACAUUGGAACUGAGACACGGUCCAAACUCCUACGGGAGGCAGCAGUGAGGAAUAUUGGUCAAUGGGCGAUGGCCUGAACCAGCCAAGUAGCGUGAAGGAUGACUGCCCUAUGGGUUGUAAACUUCUUUUAUAAAGGAAUAAAGUCGGGUAUGCAUACCCGUUUGCAUGUACUUUAUGAAUAAGGAUCGGCUAACUCCGUGCCAGCAGCCGCGGUAAUACGGAGGAUCCGAGCGUUAUCCGGAUUUAUUGGGUUUAAAGGGAGCGUAGAUGGAUGUUUAAGUCAGUUGUGAAAGUUUGCGGCUCAACCGUAAAAUUGCAGUUGAUACUGGAUGUCUUGAGUGCAGU